GACGAACGCUGGCGGCGUGCUUAAUACAUGCAAGUUGAGCGCUGAAGGUUUGUACUUGUACCAACUGGAUGAGCAGCGAACGGGUGUGUAACGCGUGUGGAAUCUGCCUUUCAUUGGGGUACAUCAUUUGGAAACGAAUUCUAAUACCGCAUAAAAACUUUAAACACAAGUUUUAUGUUUGAAAUUUGCAAUUUCAUCACUCACUGAUGAUCCCGCGUUGUAUUAGCGAGUUGGUGAGGUACAGACUCUUCAAGGCGAUGAUACAUAGCCGACCUGAGAGGGUGAUCGGCCAGAUUGAGAGGGAGACACGGCACAAACGGCUACGGGAGGCGGCAGUAGGGAAACGUCGGCAAUCGACGAAAGUCAGACCGAGAAAGGCCGAGGGAGUAAAGAGGGUCUUCGGAUCGGAAAACUCUGUUGGUAGGGAAGAAAGUGGGUGAGAGUGGAAAGAUCAGCAAGUGACGGUAACGACCAAGAAAGGGACGGCUAACUACGUG
rnacentral:rRNA from 1 species